UCCGCGACCGCGGACGGGUNCGUAACGCGUAUGUAACCUACCUUGACAGGGGGAUAACAUCGAGAAAUUGGUACUAAUACCCCAUAACAUCACCGGAGGCAUCUUCGGUGGUUGAAAACUCAGGUGGUCAGAGAUGGACAUGCGUUGUAUUAGCUAGUUGGUGAGGUAACGGCUCACCAAGGCGACGAUACAUAGGGGGACUGAGAGGUCAACCCCCCACAUUGGUACUGAGACACGGACCAAACUCCUACGGAAGGCAGCAG
rnacentral:rRNA from 1 species